GGGACUUGUAAUAUGUACUAAAUAAUAAAAGUUUAAGACAUUUAUUUUAUAUUUACAAUACAUACAAUGUUUUUUUUUUUUUUUUAUUUACAAUGACAGUUUAUAAAUAUCCAGUAGUGGUUUUGGAGCAUGUUUAAGUCCGACACAUCAUUUUGACGAAUCCACUCCAAGCAGCCAUCACACACCAGUAAUAAGGGGGCAGGACCUUUUUCGGGAUGCGGGAUCGGGUGUUUUUUUUAAGCUCGGGAUAUCGAGAUUUAUCUUUCGGGAUGUCGGGAUUUAUUUAUUUUUUAAUCGGGACCUCGGGACUUCAUGUUUUUAAGCCCGGGAUUUCGGGAUCAGGACCCUCCUACCCUCCGCUGUGAACGUCUGUAUCGCAUACCGUGCAAUUCCUUUUAGAAGAUAAGGAUAUCUUUAAAGUUACAAAUGGAAGUUUUUAACGACCUUGACUGGCUAUACAGCCCUUGCACGGUCGGUCUUUAAUGUUUGCCAUGCUUUCGGUGAGAAAUACUAUUUUACUCUCGCAAUGUUGAUAUUCUCAUCC
rnacentral:lncRNA from 1 species